AGAGUUUGAUCAUGGCUCAGAUUGAACGCUGGCGGCAGGCUUAACACAUGCAAGUCGAACGGUAACAGGAGAAAGCUUGCUUUCUUGCUGACGAGUGGCGGACGGGUGAGUAAUGCUUGGGAAUCUGGCUUAUGGAGGGGGAUAACUACGGGAAACUGUAGCUAAUACCGCGUAAUAUCUUCGGAUUAAAGGGUGGGACUUUCGGGCCACCUGCCAUAAGAUGAGCCCAAGUGGGAUUAGGUAGUUGGUGGGGUAAGGGCCUACCAAGCCGACGAUCUCUAGCUGGUCUGAGAGGAUGACCAGCCACACUGGAACUGAGACACGGUCCAGACUCCUACGGGAGGCAGCAGUGGGGAAUAUUGCACAAUGGGGGGAACCCUGAUGCAGCCAUGCCGCGUGAAUGAAGAAGGCCUUCGGGUUGUAAAGUUCUUUCGGUGAUGAGGAAGGCGGUUGUUUUAAUAGAACAAUCGAUUGACGUUAGUCACAGAAGAAGCACCGGCUAACUCCGUGCCAGCAGCCGCGGUAAUACGGAGGGUGCGAGCGUUAAUCGGAAUGACUGGGCGUAAAGGGCACGCAGGCGGUGACUUAAGUGAGAUGUGAAAGCCCCGGGCUUAACCUGGGAAUUGCAUUUCAUACUGGGUCGCUAGAGUAUUUUAGGGAGGGGUAGAAUUCCACGUGUAGCGGUGAAAUGCGUAGAGAUGUGGAGGAAUACCGAAGGCGAAGGCAGCCCCUUGGGAAUAUACUGACGCUCAUGUGCGAAAGCGUGGGGAGCAAACAGGAUUAGAUACCCUGGUAGUCCACGCUGUAAACGCUGUCGAUUUGGGGAUUGGGCUUUAAGCUUGGUGCCCGUAGCU
rnacentral:rRNA from 1 species